ensembl:rRNA 5S_rRNA 5S ribosomal RNA
AAGGACGACCACACCACCCUGAAAGCACCUGAUCUCGUCAGAUCUCAGAAACUAAGCACUGUUGGUCCUGGCCAGUACUUGGGUGGGAGACCUCCUGGGAAUCCCAGGUGCUGCAAGCU